UUCGCUGUUUACUCCUCUCACCCAUCUCCUUCUUUGACCCACACACGAACAAGCUAGGGUUGGAGCCGCCGCCCCUCCGGCCUGCCCGCCGGAGCUCCGUCCGCCACUCUUCUCCAUCUUCUCCCCCACCUCUACUCCCCCAGGCCCAACUAUGGUGGAUGACAUGCCCGCCGGCGCUCCAUACUCCCCUCUUCUCCAUCUUGCCCCUCGCCAUCUCCCUCCUCACUCCCUGUUCCGCCCCCACCCCUACUGCUGCAGGCUCAACCAUGGUGGUCAACAUGGGGAUGUGAGCGUGCACAGGCAGCGUUGGUGGACAAGAGAUGCGUAGAGGAUCUCAAGUGCUGCAGACGCUGGCGAGAUAUUCCAAAAUAAAGGAGGCGGCUAGAGGAAGCAUUGGAGGCCAAGUUCAGCAGCAACGGUCAGCUGUCGUCCGUGGCCGGAUGACGACAUCUGUAAAGGAAUGAGGGUGGUCGGAGACCGACAACAGGGGGCUACUAAACUAGGCAAGCUACCAUCACUCCAUUAUCCCCGGAGAUCGUUUGGUGAUGUCUGUUGCAUCACAUUAUGGACUGGAGGCGCGGACUGCCCCGCGCAAGUAGGUUAUGUGCUUGAGAUGACUGAAUGUCCGAUAAUACCAUAAACCUUCAGCGAGCAGUGGCUCCAAACUCCAUCCCCUGAUCUCAAGAUAGCUCUAUUAAAUCUCUUGAUGGUAUAACAGGGCAUUGGCAGGAAUUCUUGAUGAUUGAGGAAAUUAUGGCAGGCAUUCUUGAUGGUAUAUUAAAUCUUGGUUUGAUGGGUACUUUUGUGAAGAAACUAUUGAGUCCCAGGCCUGAUGAGUAUUACACGGCAUGAGAAAUUCAAGAAUUGAAUGAGAAGAGUGAAGACGACUAGCAGGUUGGGUUCUCUAAGGAAUGCCCAUACGAACUCGCUAUGGCGAGGAUGACUCAAUGAAUGGACAUGUCGAUCAUGCUCAGCCAGUUGCGCAGUUAGAAGUUGGAAUCGAACCCGAAAAGUUUGUGGAGUCCGUGCUGACAACCCUACCACCUGGGAGGUAGGAACUACCUUUUCUCCCUAUUUUGAUAUGCAAGAUUGAAUAUUAAGGCAUUAUUUGAAAUCUAUUUACCGAGGCAGAGACAUGAGAAGAACUAUUUUUUCUCCUGUUGCAACACACUGGCCGAAGGUUACAAGUGUGCAAACCCGUAUUGUUGUUUAUAAAGAUGGAAUUUAUUAGUCGUUUUUGGCUAUCGAAUUGGUGAUGCAAUCCGUCCCCACAUCUGUGUCUUCACCACUUCGUCCUCCCGCACAAUCAGCAGAACAGAGCAGCUGCAGCGAUUUGGCCAUUCAUCUCUUCGAGUGAUUCAAACCUAGGAAGCCUGCUACUUGCGCAGGCAACAUGGUAAGAAGUUUCGGUUUUCUCACUAAUGCACCUCAAUUGGUAAGGAUAGAUGAAUGUCAGUUUGCUUUAUGUUGGUUUUCUAAUUUCUACAUAUUCCUUUCUUACAGACUCUUCCUUCAAGGAAAUCUAAUUAUCUAGGUAUAUGGAAAGGAGGCAAAUUAUGUAACUAUUUGGGCGUAUUCAUGCUCUGCUAUGCAGAUUGAGGAGAAAGAGUUAUUUUAUUGUGAUGAUGAUUAAUUUUUUCAUCUUGUGAUCUUCUUUGCUCAAGUCAGCCUACAUAUGUUAUCUGUUUGUGUCCCGGAGCGCGGCUGCGGCGAGGGGCUGCACGGCGUGGAAGUUGGGGAGGAGGAGCGCCACGGCGAGGGUGGAGGCGAGCACGAUGAGCGGCAGUUAGAGCCCGCCGUGGCGCGCCAGGGGGAGGGUGACGUCUGUGACGCCCUCGAUUCAAUCGUACACUAAUCAUACACGCAAAUGUGUACGAUCAAGAUCAAGGACUCACGGGAAGAUAUCACAACACAACUCUAGACACAA